rnacentral:rRNA from 1 species
UACGUAGGGAGCAAGCGUUGUCCGGAUUUACUGGGUGUAAAGGGUGCGUAGGCGGCUUAGCAAGUCAGAUGUGAAAUCUAUGGGCUCAACCCAUAAACUGCAUUUGAAACUGCCAGGCUUGAGUGAAGUAGAGGCAGGCGGAAUUCCCUGUGUAGCGGUGAAAUGCGUAGAGGUAGGGAGGAACACCAGUGGCGAAGGCGGCCUGCUGGGCUUUAACUGACGCUGAGGCACGAAAGCGUGGGUAGCAAAC